CAGCAGCCGCGGUAAUACAGAGGGUGCGAGCGUUAAUCGGAUUUACUGGGCGUAAAGCGUGCGUAGGCGGCUAAUUGAGUCGGAUGUGAAAUCCCCGAGCUUAACUUGGGAAUUGCAUUCGAUACUGGUUAGCUAGAGUGUGGGAGAGGAUGGUAGAAUUCCAGGUGUAGCGGUGAAAUGCGUAGAGAUCUGGAGGAAUACCGAUGGCGAAGGCAGCCAUCUGGCCUAACACUGACGCUGAGGUACGAAAGCAUGGGGAGCAAACAGGAUUAGAUACCCCAGUAGUCCCUGUCUCUUAUCC
rnacentral:rRNA from 1 species